ACGCUCGACACCUACGGAGGCAGCAGUGAGGGAUAUUCGGCAAUGGGGGAAACCCUGACCGAGCAACGCCGCGUGAGGGAAGACGGUUUUCGGAUUGUAAACCUCUGUCCUCUGUGAAGAUAGUGACGGUAGCAGAGGAGGAAGCUCCGGCUAACUACGUGCAGCAGCCGCGGUAAUCUGAGCGGGCUGGCAAGGC
rnacentral:rRNA from 1 species